rnacentral:siRNA from 1 species
UGGAGAUGCCCUUACAAUUUA